CAGCAGCCACGGUAAUACGUAGGGUGCAAGCGUUAAUCGGAAUUACUGGGCGUAAAGCGUGAGCAGGCGGUUAUAUAAGACAGAUGUGAAAUCCCCGGGCUCAACCUGGGAACUGCAUUUGUGACUGUAUAGCUAGAGUACGGCAGAGGGGGAUGGAAUUCCGCGUGUAGCAGUGAAAUGCGUAGAUAUGCGGAGGAACACCGAUGGCGAAGGCAAUCCCCUGGGCCUGUACUGACGCUCAUGCACGAAAGCGUGGGGAGCAAACAGGAUUAGAUACCCCCGUAGUCCCUGUCUCUUAUAC
rnacentral:rRNA from 1 species